rnacentral:rRNA from 1 species
GUGGGGAAUAUUGGACAAUGGGCGCAAGCCUGAUCCAGCCAUGCCGCGUGAGUGAUGAAGGCCCUAGGGUUGUAAAGCUCUUUCAGUGGGGACGAUAAUGACGGUACCCACAGAAGAAGCCCCGGCUAACUUCGUGCCAGCAGCCGCGGUAAUACGAAGGGGGCUAGCGUUGUUCGGAUUUACUGGGCGUAAAGCGCACGUAGGCGGAUCGUUAAGUCGGGGGUGAAAUCCUGGAGCUCAACUCCAGAACUGCCUUCGAUACUGGCGAUCUUGAGUCCGGAAGAGGUGAGUGGAACUCCUAGUGUAGAGGUGGAAUUCGUAGAUAUUAGGAAGAACACCAGUGGCGAAGGCGGCUCACUGGUCCGGUACUGACGCUGAGGUGCGAAAGCGUGGGGAGCAAACAGGAUUAGAUACCCCGGUAGUCC